UGAAAAUUUUUACAAACAAGGUGCUUGUUUGGGUCUUCUAUUGUUUCGAAGCAAGGCAAUUGCCAGGAACUAUUCACAUAAUUUCAGUUAAGGUGUAGCUUGGUAUCUAUAUAUUGUGUUUGAAUAUGACCAACUCGGUAUGUGAAUGAAUUAUCUAUAUCCAAAUAAGAUUUCCUUUCUCUUGUCAGUUUUAGUUAUCAUGUUUUAUACAUUCAGCAUGUUGAAGGCCUAUUUAAUAAAGGUGGUUCCUCUCUUUUAGUUUUGUUCUAUACACAAAAUGAUGAAAUACGCAGCAAGUGUGAGUUUGAGAGAAUGCAGCAUGUAUAUUGGAUCAGGUUCCUCAUACUGACUAAUCAGUUGGCUUCUAUAAAUGUCAUAGAGUUGCAUAUAUGGCUUUGUUUAGAUUUUUGAAACUUACUUGUAUAUAAAUGUUUGGUCUCAAGUAUAUGGGAAUGCACCCUCACACAUAUCCUAUGUUCUCAUCUUAUAGAAAUUUUCAGCAAGAUGACAAGCAUGCCUAUUAUACAUAUAUGUUCAUGCUUGUGUAUGUGUAAUAGGUUCGUGGAAGCCUGAUACGGAUGUAAUAAUAAUAUCUUGGAAGCAAGUCUAGUUGGUGGGUAAACAUAUAUUAGUGUAAGAAGUAUUUAUUAGAUGUUACAACUUUGACAGUUUUUUUUCCAGAAUUUGGUUGCAGGUAUCUCAUGCAAGAGUUGAUUUCUCUCUACCUCUUUCUGCGUUAGUGAUGGUUAUGGGAGUUAUUGUUCCCAGGCUUUAUUGAAUGAGAUUCAUCAUUCUUUUCUUGUCAUUUCAGACAUAUGUUGGUGAUAUCCUUACCGUUUCGUGCGGGGUGACGGCUAUUGACGGUUAUUACCCUUUGUCAUUUCGUGUGGUGGUGAUAUUCAGUUUACAGCUUUAUGCUGGGACAACUAUAUGCUGGGUUUACAGUAUGGGUGCCACCACAUCUUGCCCCGGGGGCGUAGGAUACCGUACUGGGUUUACCGCCGAGUGCGGGGUUUAGUGUGGGUGCGACCACGUCUUGCUUGGGGGACGUAGGGUUACCACAUUGGUUACGGCCGAGUGCCGGGUUUCACCACUCGAGUGUUGGGUUUACCGCCAAUGUCGAGUUCGACUGCUGAGUGUCGGGUUUUACCGCCGAGUGCAGGGUUUACCGCUGAGUGUCGGGUUUUACCGCCGAGUGCGGGUUUUACCACUGAGUGUGGGGUUUUACGGCUGAGUGCCGGGUUUUCGGCUACGAGCCGGGUUUUACCGCCGAGUGCAGGGUGGUUCACAGCUGAAUGUGGAUUCUACUGCUAUGUGCAAAGUUUUUCUGAGUGUUUUUGAGGGGUUUUGAGACGUAUCGGGGUUAACCGAUAACAAAGAGGAAAAAGAACAAACGUAUGUAUUUGCUACUUGAAUGACAUUGGUCAGUUAUGAUCAUAAGAACAGAUCUUGUCAUACAUCUGUGAGUUUGUGCUCGGGAUUAGGUAUGUUCAAUUUGAUGUUUAUGCAUUGAUGAGCACGGUCAAUUACAAUUGCAAAUCAUAUCAAGUAAGCUGCUAAAUUGAGUGAUGCUUAACACUGAUAUGGCAGCUAAAUUUCUUUCCUGAGUGAAUAAUAACGGUUAAAUAGUGCAAUAGAGGCAAUUGAAGUUUGAUUUGCUUGUUAAUCAAGUGUAAA